rnacentral:rRNA from 1 species
UACGUAGGGCGCAAGCGUUGUCCGGAAUUAUUGGGCGUAAAGAGCUCGUAGGCGGCUUGUCACGUCGGAUGUGAAAGCCCGGGGCUUAACUCCGGGUCUGCAUUCGAUACGGGCAGACUAGAGUGUGGUAGGGGAGAUCGGAAUUCCUGGUGUAGCGGUGAAAUGCGCAGAUAUCAGGAGGAACACCGGUGGCGAAGGCGGAUCUCUGGGCCAUUACUGACGCUGAGGAGCGAAAGCGUGGGGAGCGAACAGG